UGGCACCAAGUGUGUGGUUUAUGUGUUUAAUGCCCUUCUCCUCGGCAUGGCACGAGCUCCACCAAGUGUGGCUGUGUUUCUCGUUACUUUCCCAGCACCUGGUCAGUACCUGGAAUGGUCAGGCCCAAGGAAUAAUUAAUUGCGGGUUAUCAAAGGUCCCACCGCCUGUGCCCGCUGGAGACGGAUGCUGGCGGUCUGUUGAACCUGGUUUGUCCCUGGUGAAGACUAAAUGGCUCUUGGAGUCACAGGAACGGGACCCAUGACCUAGCAGCAGAGAUUAAGCUGCAGUCAGAGCAGACGUGAAGAAUACCCAGUGUCACACUCUUGUAACCUCAGCGUGUGGGAAGCGGAAGCGGGAGGAAUUCUGUGAGUCUGAGGUCAGCCGGCAACAGGCAAAAGUGUGAGAUCUUGUCAAACAAAUGAACAACAACAACAAAAUGCAAAACAAGGGACUUGAAGGGACACCGACUCCUUCUAAGGCAGGUGAGCUGUGAAACUCCAUUGUUCACCAUCGAAGGGGACCCACCGGAGAAACAAUGAGAUCUCUACCCAGGAGAACAUUCCAGUUAAUAAAAGGCUGAGGCCGUCGGGGACCUAUUCCCUCCAGCAACACUCUAAGCCUCUGUGGAACGAUUCAAUUUUUCUGUGGAUACAAGUGAUUAUAUCUAGUAGGUGGAACAAAUGGAAAUUAAUAUACUCCAUUAACAGCAAGGCAUAAUUACUGGGAAAAAUCCACCUGAGCUGGGAUUUAAGCAGCCACCCACACCUAACCCAGGCACAAAUCCAGCCCUGGCAAAGCCAGUGCUGGUCAUUUUAGUGAGAAACCUGGGAUAUAAUAAUUCAGCCUCAGAGGCUGUCUGCAGGGUAGAAACCACACACAAACAGCAAAUUGAAAUGUUAUUUGGACUUCCUUACCUGGAAGGGCCCCAUCCCAGCUGACUGUAACAAAACAGGUGAAACCCCUGCCUUCACAUCUUUUAAGUCAAGGACCGACCGUGGUGUAGGCGGCAUUGCCUUCUCUGUCCCAGGGAAGCUGGUCUGGCUCUAUGGGUUUGAAGAGCCUAUGGUGAUGUAUCAGAGCGCUUCCUGUUGCCGUAACAACUAUCAGCAAUCAUCAGCUCACAAGGAUUUGUUUUGGCUCACUGUUUUCCAGGUUUCAGUUCAUCACCAAUUAACUUCAUUUUUGGGGAGGGGAGCCUGUGGCAGCAGUUGAUGGCAGAACCAAGUGGCAAAGGAGACCCAUCUGUGUAACGGUGUGAAUACGUGGAGCGGGGAUCACUGUGGCCCCACCUCUUUUUGGUUUUGUUUGGGGCUUCCAGGCUUAGGUUCAGCAGCCUUUUUUCCAUACCCCUCAGGACCACAUGCCCAAGGGUGGUACUGCCCACUGUGGGUUGGUACCCACAUCAAUCAUCAAUCAAUAAAAUGUUCCUUGAGGCUGGAGAGUUGGCUCAGUGGUUAAGAGCACUUGUUCUUGCAAAGGAUGCAGGUUUGAUUCCCAGCACCCACAUGGUGGCUCACAAUCCUCUGUAACUCCGGAUCCAGGAUAUCUGACGCCCAUUUCUGGCCUCCUCAGGCAGAGGCUCACACGGGUACACAUAGCGCACAUACAUAUAUACAAACAGGCAAAAUGCUCCUCACACACAUAAAAUAAUAAAAUUUAAUUUAAGUAAAUACAUCUUUAAUAAGAUUUAGCGAGCCUUUUUUUCCAAACACAGACAGUGACCCUCGGAGGCUUCUGAAGCAUUACCAAAGCCUGUGGCUUGAAGGUGUUUAUCCACUUAGGGCUAAGGGUUAACCAUCAAGAAGGCUAAGAUUAAAGGGCCCAGAUGAGAAUGUAUCCUUGCAUCCGACAGGACCAGAAGGGAGGAUGUCUGAAUGAGUCCAGACCAGGGAGUGGAGGGAGCAGAGAUGAGUCCGGCAGAGCCCCAGGUGCAGCAGCUCCACACGGCUCGGCCCCGUCCUUGGGGAGGUGGCACAGGAACUGCUUUGCUGCAGCCGACACCACACCGCAGGUAGACUUCCCGGCCAGGGCCUGCAGCCGCUGCUUCUGAGACACCGUCCUGAGCCCUCUGACGUUUCCUCUGAGCCUACAACACAGCCCGGAAUGGCCAGUGAUUGAGAAUGAGGGAGGAGACAGCCCCAAGAGCAUCUCCAGACUCCUCCUGCCUCCUCACAUUGUCCUCACCAGCACCACAGCCUAUUGCUGAUGCCUACAGUGUGCCAGGGAUGCCUACAGUGUGCCAGGGAUGCCUACAGUGUGCCAGGGAUGGCUCAAUUUUUCCACACACUUUUUUUUUUUUUGAGACAGGGUUUCU